GAAAUCAAGCAACAACAAAAGUGCUUGUUUGUUUGCUGUCUUUUCGGACUGGUUCCUUGGUUAAAUUUUAAUAAUUUCAAAUAAAACAUAUGCCACACGCACACACACAAGAACGUGGACAACGCACGCAUGAGGCGAACAUCUUCAUGCAUAUGUAUUUGUGUAUCUCUUUGCGUGUACAGUGAGUAUAUUUUUAUAAAUUCCAAUACACCCGCCAGUGACGUCUGCAACAGCUGCUCCCCCGGAGCGCAGGAGCAAAGGCCGUCACAGGGCCCAAACGCAGGCCACGAUGCCGACUGACACCCGAGGGACGCAGGAGCAGGCGGAAGGCGCUCACCACGGCAGCGCCGCUUCUGGACAUGCUGCUUUCCGUCCGAUUACACUACACUACAACAAAAAAAAACCAGCACUUCGAGGGGGUGGUGGGUGGUGGGUGGAGGGACGGCUUGUCACGCCUACCGGAUCACAGCAAUACGUUUGUGGGGGAUGGGGGGGACUUGAGUGAAUCACAAACACACUGCGAGCGUGUUAAGAAGAAAUGAGUGAGCGUAACGGUUAUUCCACGAACUUGACUCGAAAUUCCGAUGUUGUUGUUGUUGUUUUUCGACUAAAACGAUCUUGGGUUCACGAAAAAUUGUAUUUGGUCAAACGGGUCACAAAAAUUUCAAAAAAAUUCGAUUUGUCUUCGAGGUUCUUGCGAUCUUCGCAUUCUGUGUUCGAAAAACGAAUGUAU